CAAGCAUACAAAGAAUGAGUCUUGGCGUUUGCUCUCACAAAUGUAACAAGCAAAAAUAAGGGGCCAAAGUCCAACAGGACAGUGUCAUCACAAGGCGGUCAACGACACCUUUUUAUUGGAUUUUCAGUAAAUAAUUGGUCAUUUGAUGGCCCAAUUGA